rnacentral:lncRNA from 1 species
UAUUCAUUCUCCAUCGUAGAGUUCAUAUCUCAAGCCGCAGAGCCCCGGUAAAAUAUUACCGUUCUUUAAUUUCUAUUAUAUUGGAAAUUUUUCUAACAAUCCCAUUGCAGUUUUCCGGUUAGGUUGUAGGGUUUAAGCUGAAUUAAAUCAGUGAACUCAUGGCUUUGCGUUUUUGAUUCAGUUGAAUUAUUAUGUUUUCCUCCGUGCUUCUUUGAUGUUUGUUUUUCCUACGAUGCAGGAGGAUUAUCAGUAAAGAUGUAUCUCCAAUUUUACAUUAAUGAAAAUGGGGAUAAAGUUUACACUACUAAGGUUUGCCUCUUCGUUUUCUCGAUUCAUGCAGCUUUUAUGUAAAUAUGUAAUUUUCCAUGCUAUUAUCGCAGUGUUUCAGGUUAUAGGCAUGGUUUACAUGAUCAAUAAUUAAUUCCCACUCUAGGUAAUGCUGUGAUGGUAAAUUAAAAUUCACUACCUGUUAAAGUGCAUUUUGUACAUUUAUUUUAAGUAAUUUUUCCUUGCUUGUAAUUCCCAACAAAGAGUGAUAUCAUGAUUUCCCGAAUUUGAUGAUAGAUGGUCGCAGAUACUAGUUUCAGUAAGUAGUGAGUUUGAGAGUUGGCUCGAUGUUAAUCAACAUUCAUAGUUGUACUUACUGAAUUGCAAUUUAAUGCAUAAUGUGGGGCGAGUACUUAUUUGAAAGGAUUUCUCUGAACUUUUUGACAAAAUUUACCAUCUUGUUUUCUCCACUAAAAAGAAAAGACUUCAUAUAUUUCGAUUUUUUACUAUUGCUCUUCUUCAUGCAGAAGGAAUCACCAUUGGGGUUGGCCACAGAAUCUGCUCAUCCUGGUAUGUUUUCUGAAUCAUUAUGAAUCUAUAUCUUAGAUGUAAUGUACCCUAACAGACUGGCCCUUUUAAAAUAAAUACGUGCAUCGAAUUGCAUGUUUUAGUGUGUUAUGGUAAUAAAAUCAAUAUUUUGCACACUUGACAGUGACAGAGUGGUCGAGUAAUUUGCUUCUGACUAAUUGAUACAUAAUGGAAUAUGAUUCAGAAUUUGAGAAUCUGCCUGUCUAUCACCUGUGCAAUUAAAUCUUCAAUUUGAGUAUAAUGAAGGAUAAGAAAUUUCUCUGAAUAGCUAAGAACUUUUGUUCCUCACUAUUCGAUUGAAACUUUUCCUACUGAUGUCAAUGUAUUUGUGCACUCUUAUGCCAUGUUACAGCAUGAGGGAUGCAUCUGUGGAUAGAGUAUAUUUCCUAACCAAGUCUUUGUGAAAUUUUUGUCUUCUAAGGAAACUUUAAGUUGAUAAAGUAGUACAAAUCAUAUUAAACAAACAUGCACGCUGGAAAAUACGAACUCUUACUCCCUAUUUUUUGUCUUCACACAUGAUUUUUCGUCUUUACAAAUAACAAAAGAGCAAUAGUAAUAAAACCGAGAAAAACUUGCUUAGGCGUUGUGAUAAUGGGAAAUGAUGCUCUUCUUGUUUUCUGAGUUACUGCUUUGUUAAACUAGUAAUCAUGGUCUACAAAGAUUAUUCACCACAUCCUUCUAAUGUCUCUCUUUCCCAAUUGCAGCUCGCUUCUCACCUGAUGACAAAUACUCGAGGCAAAGAGUGCUCCUGAAGAAGCGCUUUGGUUUACUUCCUACCCAACAUCCACCUCCCAAGUACUGAGUACCCAAUGUACUCACGUAGGCCUUUUGUAUCGAGAGGAGAAAUGUAGCAUUCCUUUUCAUUUACCCAAGAGUUACCAAAUUAAUCGUUUUACUAUUGGCCUGUAAUUUGUGUUUGCACUCCUUUUGCAAUUUCUAUUGAUAUUAAAUGUUAUGGUGGCUAAUGCUAGAUUCCUUCACCCUUUACUUUUAUCCCAAAAAUAUUUCAUUUUUAUUAAAAUGUUAUGGUGGUUAGUCCUACAGGUUUCACUCUUGGGACGAAAUGCAACCAUGAGCUAGCAAUUACCUAUGAAAACCACUGAAAGCUUAUAAAUGAUUCAUUUUGGAUAGUUUGCAACAAUUUCUAUGUUGGGUUUUUUUUUAUCACUCUCGUCGUGUCAUUUAGAUUGUCACAGGGACUGUACUACCAUUCAAAUCAUCAAUUUAUCACUUUCGUUUUGUGUUGCUUGAGAUUGUCACAAGGACUGUAAUACCAUUAAAAUCAUCAAUUAGCGUUGCAAGCGGUAAUGUAAUGAAUUUACUGCUUGUAAAAAUAAGUCUCCAAGUUAGUGGUUUUUCAUCAGAAGAAAUUUUUAAUACUUCUUUUUUAGAUAUGUUCUCUCGUAUCUUAUGCUUUUGUCUUUCAUGAUAAACAGAAUUCUUACGAAGUGUCAAUACUCUGUGAUUAUCAGUAAACCAUG